rnacentral:tRNA from 1 species
GGAGAGGUGUCCGAGUGGUUGAAGGAGCACGCCUGGAAAGCGUGUGUGGGGGCAACUUCACCGUGAGUUCGAAUCUCAUCCUCUCCGCCA